rnacentral:lncRNA from 1 species
GCGGGCGCCUCCCGCGAAGGUGAGCGUCUCGGUCACGAAGUCGCCCGCGGUCACCGAGCCGUCGCCGUAGGCCACCUGGUACAUGCACGCCCCGCGCCGCAGGUCGCAGCCCCCCGAGUCCAGCCUGCGGCACAGCGCCGCGCCGCAGCCCACGGCGCCGUACGAGCUCGAGCGCCGCGGGUCGAACACCGGGCCCGACUGCUCGUAGCACCGCCGGCACGGCGCGCACUGCACCCACACCACGUCGCUGCCGGUGUCCAGCACCAUCAGC